rnacentral:misc_RNA from 1 species
UUUAUUUACCUUGUUGCUUCGGCGAGCCUGCCUUUUGGCUGCCGGGGGACGUCAGUCCCCGGGUCCGUGCUCGCCGGAGACACCUUAGAACUCUGUCUGAAGAUUGUAGUCUGAGAUUAAAUAUAAAUUAUUUAAAACUUUCAACAACGGAUCUCUUGGUUCCGGCAUCGAUGAAGAACGCAGCGAAAUGCGAUACGUAAUGUGAAUUGCAGAAUUCAGUGAAUCAUCGAGUCUUUGAACGCACAUUGCGCCCUCUGGUAUUCCGGAGGGCAUGCCUGUCCGAGCGUCAUUGCUGCCCUCAAGCACGGCUUGUGUGUUGGGCCCCGUCCUCCUUCCGGGGGACGGGUCCGAAAGGCAGCGGCGGCACCGCGUCCGGUCCUCAAGCGUAUGGGGCUUUGUCACUCGCUUUGUAGGCCUGGCCGGCGCUUGCCGAUCAACCAAACUUUUUAUCAGGUUGACCUCGGAUCAGGUAGGGAUACCCGCUGAACUUAAGCAU